rnacentral:rRNA from 1 species
GAUGAACGCUGACAGAAUGCUUAACACAUGCAAGUCUUUGGCGAAGCUGUGCUUGCACAGCCUAGCCAAGGCGGACGGGCGAGUAACGCGUAAGGAACUUGCCCUGCAGUCAGGGAUAACAGACGGAAACGACUGAUAAGACCUGGUAAAGUCAGGCGGACUCAUGUCCAGCCUGAUGAAAAGAGAUGCUGCAGGAGAGCCUUGCGUCCUAUUAGCUUGUUGGUGGGGUAACGGCCCACCAAGGCGAUGAUAGGUAGCCGGCCUGAGAGGGUGGACGGCCACAAGGGGACUGAGAUACGGCCCUUACUCCUACGGGAGGCAGCAGUGGGGAAUAUCGGACAAUGGGGGCAACCCUGAUCCAGCAAUUCUGUGUGCACGAUGAAGGUUUUCGGAUUGUAAAGUGCUUUCAGCAGGGAAGAAAAAAAUGACGGUACCUGCAGAAGAAGCGACGGCUAAAUACGUG